rnacentral:rRNA from 1 species
GACGAACGCUGGCGGCGUGCUUAACACAUGCAAGUCGAACGGAAAGGCCCUGCUUGCAGGGUACUCGAGUGGCGAACGGGUGAGUAACACGUGGGUGAUCUGCCCUGCACUUCGGGAUAAGCCUGGGAAACUGGGUCUAAUACCGGAUAUGACCUUCCAUGUAGUGUGGGGGGUGGAAAGAUUUAUCGGUGUGGGAUGAGCCCGCGGCCUAUCAGCUUGUUGGUGGGGUAAUGGCCUACCAAGGCGUCGACGGGUAGCCGGCCUGAGAGGGUGGACGGCCACAUUGGGACUGAGAUACGGCCCAGACUCCUACGGGAGGCAGCAGUGGGGAAUAUUGCACAAUGGGCGGAAGCCUUAUGCAGCGACGCCGCGUGGGGGAUGACGGCCUUCGGGUUGUAAACCUCUUUCGACAGGGACGAAGCUUCGGUGACGGUACCUGUAUAAGAAGCACCGGCUAACUACGUGC